GACGAACGCUGGCGGCGUGCUUAACACAUGCAAGUCGAACGGUAAGGCCCUGCUUUUGUGGGGUGCUCGAGUGGCGAACGGGUGAGUAACACGUGAGUAACCUGCCCUUGACUUUGGGAUAACUUCAGGAAACUGGGGCUAAUACCGGAUAGGAGCUCCUGCUGCAUGGUGGGGGUUGGAAAGUUUCGGCGGUUGGGGAUGGACUCGCGGCUUAUCAGCUUGUUGGUGGGGUAGUGGCUUACCAAGGCUUUGACGGGUAGCCGGCCUGAGAGGGUGACCGGCCACAGUGGGACUGAGAGACGGCCGAGACUCCUACGGGAGGCAGCAGUGGGGAAUAUUGCAGAAUGGGCGGAAGCCUGAUGCAGCAACGCCGCGUGCGGGAUGACGGCCUUCGGGUUGUAAACCGCUUUCGCCUGUGACGAAGCGUGAGUGACGGUAAUGGGUAAAGAAGCACCGGCUAACUACGUG
rnacentral:rRNA from 1 species